CUACGGAACUCCUACGGGAGGCAGCAGUGGGGAAUAUUGGACAAUGGGCGAAAGCCUGAUCCAGCAACGCCGCGUGAGGGAUGACGGCCUUCGGGUUGUAAACCUCUUUCAGCGCAGACGAAGCGAAAGUGACGGUAUGCGCAGAAGAAGCACCGGCCAACUACGUGCCAGCAGCCGCGGUAAUACGUAGGGUGCGAGCGUUGUCCGGAAUUAUUGGGCGUAAAGGGCUCGUAGGCGGUUUGUUGCGUCGGGAGUGAAAACUCAGGGCUUAACCCUGAGCCUGCUUCCGAUACGGGCAGACUAGAGGUAUGCAGGGGAGAACGGAAUUCCUGGUGUAGCGGUGAAAUGCGCAGAUAUCAGGAGGAACACCGGUGGCGAAGGCGGUUCUCUGGGCAUUACCUGACGCUGAGGAGCGAAAGUGUGGGGAGCGAACAGGAUUAGAUACCCCUGUAGUCCUCUUCGA
rnacentral:rRNA from 1 species